rnacentral:lncRNA from 1 species
UCUAGCUCCUGCAUACCCUUGUGUUUACCCGCUCAGUGGGCUGGUGCCACCGCCUCCCGCUGCUUCUACACUUUUUCAUUGCUCCCUCCAACACACCUGUGAACCUGCUCUCCUUUGAUGCCCAUGGGGGCUUUGCUGUGAUCACUCCCGGUGCUCUUAUCUGCUGCUCAAUAUGUUUUUACAAGGAGUGAUAAGACACACAGCACUGGUGCCAAAUCACCGUCCCAGAUGUCCGUGGAGGAAGGAAGCAAAUGCUGACAACAAUGAAGUAAACGAGUCCACCGGUGUAGCAGCAACUUUUGGCACGGACGAUAGCUUGCCUUACAGGGAAAACAGCUUUCCGCAGAAGCCUAAGCAUAUGGUCGGCUCCUGUUUCGACAACAAGAUGCCGUGUCACCUUGCUAGCCACCUGUAGCCGGCGACCAGCCGACAGAGAGGGGGAUUUAAGGGUCACAAAUGCACUGCAGGCGAUCACAACAUGCAUUGUGCAGGAUGGAGGGAAAUACCCUGGAGAGGUCGCCUUCCUGACAUCCAGCAGACUGACC